rnacentral:rRNA from 1 species
GACGAACGCUGGCGGCGUGCUUAACACAUGCAAGUCGAACGGAAAGGCCCUGCUUUUGUGGGGUGCUCGAGUGGCGAACGGGUGAGUAACACGUGAGUAACCUGCCCUUGACUUUGGGAUAACUUCAGGCAACUGGGGCUAAUACCGGAUAGGAGCUCCUGCUGCAUGGUGGGGGUUGGAAAGUUUCGGCGGUUGGGGAUGGACUCGCGGCUUAUCAGCUUGUUGGUGGGGUAGUGGCUUACCAAGGCUUUGACGGGUAGCCGGCCUGAGAGGGUGACCGGCCACAUUGGGACUGAGAUACGGCCCAGACUCCUACGGGAGGCAGCAGUGGGGAAUAUUGCACAAUGGGCGGAAGCGUGAUGCAGCAACGCCGCGUGCGGGAUGACGGCCUUCGGGUUGUAAACCGCUUUCGGCUGUGACGAAGCGUGAGUGACGGUAAUGGGUAAAGAAGCACCGGCUAACUACGUG